rnacentral:rRNA from 1 species
UACGUAGGUGGCAAGCGUUGUCCGGAUUUAUUGGGUUUAAAGGGCUCGUAGGCGGCCAACUAAGUCAGACGUGAAAUCCCUCGGCUUAACCGGGGAACUGCGUCUGAUCCUGGAUGGCUUGAAUCCGGGAGAGGGAUGCGGAAUUCCAGGUGUAGCGGUGAAAUGCGUAGAUAUCUGGAGGAACACCGGUGGCGAAGGCGGCAUCCUGGACCGGCAUUGACGCUGAGGAGCGAAAGCCAGGGGAGCAAACGGG